GGAGUUUGUCCAAUGUGACAUCACACACUGGCAUGGGUGGGGCAGAGCUGGGACUUAAAUCCAGACACCAAGCACUGAACAGCCCCUGGGUAACCAGGAUGUCAUUAGCGAGUGAUGAGGUCCAAGCACCUCCCUCCCAGAGUGGACCAGGACAGCGUCGAGGACAACAGCUGCAUCUGUGGAAGAGAGCUCUGGGAGCUGUCUUACUUUCACAGGAGAGCUGGGAUGGAUGGACCCUGUGAGGUUCCUUUCGUAGUGCACGAAAUGGCGGAGACUCCUCCAAAGCUGCCUCUCCAAGGAGGAACUGGGAAAGAGCAGAGGUGCUGCUGUCCGUCCCCUCUGCCCUUCAGAACUCCCAUUCUUCAGGACUCUAACUUUGACAGGGCGUCGAGACCACAAGUGCAGGCUGCUGUCCCAAAGCUCUGACCCUGGAGGACUCCAGUUCUGGGUUCCAAGUCUGAUCAUUUCCCAGGUGCACGGGUUCUCUCCGCUGAGCUUUGUUUGCUGCAAAACUUAGAGUUAGGUCUUUGCCAUCGGAUUUUGCUUUUUUCUUUUGAUCAUUACAAAGGGAAAAAAAAAAAAAAAACCUAAUGAAAUCUU
rnacentral:lncRNA from 1 species